rnacentral:rRNA from 1 species
CCCUUAGAUGUUCUGGGCCGCACGCGUGCUACACUGAGUGGAUCAGCGGGUCAGGUUGCGCGAAAGUGUUUCCUAAUCUUGAAAUUCGCUCGUGAUGGGGAUAGAUUAUUGCAAUUAUUAAUCUUCAACGAGGAAUUCCUAGUAAGCGCGAGUCAUCAGCUCGUGCUGAUUACGUCCCUGCCCUUUGUACACACCGCCCGUCGCUCCUACCGAUUGAGUGCUCAGGUGAAUAAUUCGGACUGCAGCAAUGUUCGGAUCCCGAACGUUGCAGCGGAAAGUUUAGUGAACCUUAUCACUUAGAGGAAGGAGAAGUCGUAACA